ensembl:snRNA U1 U1 spliceosomal RNA
AUACUUACCUGGCAGGGGAGAUACCAUGAUCACGAAGGUGGUUUUCCCAGGGCGAGGCUUAUCUAUUGCACUCCGGAUGUGCUGACCCCUGCGAUUUCCCCAAAUGUGGGAAACUCGACUGCAUAAUUUGUGGUAGUGGGGGACUGCGUUCGCGCUUUUCCCUG